rnacentral:rRNA from 1 species
UACGUAGGUGGCGAGCGUUGUCCGGAUUUAUUGGGUUUAAAGGGUGCGUAGGCGGCUUUGUAAGUCAGUGGUGAAAUACUCCAGCUUAACUGGAGGGGUGCCAUUGAUACUGCGGAGCUUGAGUACAGAUGAGGUAGGCGGAAUUGACGGUGUAGCGGUGAAAUGCAUAGAUAUCGUCAAGAACACCGAUAGUGAAGACAGCUAACUAAGCUCUAACUGACGCUGAGGCACGAAAGUGUGGGGAUCAAACAGG